ncrna:unclassified sequences RAGATH-18 RNA
UCUACGGAGUGCGAUACCAAACGUUAGUAGCGAGACGGGAAUCCGUUAGCGAGAACGCGCACAUUGAACUAGAAA